GUCCUGAAAGCUUAUUUUAGCAGUUAAUCUUGUAAAUUAAAAGGAGAAGGUUAAAUUCCUUCUCAGGACU
rnacentral:tRNA from 1 species